rnacentral:rRNA from 1 species
GACGAACCGUCCAAACGUUAUUCGGAAUUACUGGGCUUAAAGGGUGCGUAGGCGGCGCGGAAAGUUGGGUGUGAAAUCCCCCGGGCUCAACCCGGGAACUGCGUCCGAUACUGGGAGGCUUGAAUCCGGGAGAGGGAUGUGGAAUUCCAGGUGUAGCGGUGAAAUGCGUAGAUAUCUGGAGGAACACCGGUGGCGAAGGCGGCAUCCUGGACCGGUAUUGACGCUGAGGCGCGAAAAGCCAGGGG